GACGAACGCUGGCGGCGUGCUUAACACAUGCAAGUCGAACGGAAAGGCCCUGCUUUUGCGGGGUUCUCGUUUGGCGAACGGGUGUGUAACACGUGAGUAACCUGCCCUUGACUUUGGGAUAACUUCAGGAAACUGGGGCUAAUAUCGGGUAGGAGCUUCUGCUGCAUGGUGGUGGUUGGAAAGUUUCGGCGGUUGGGGAUGGACUCGCGGGUUAUGAGCUUCCUUGUGGGGUAGUGGCGUACAAAGGCUUUGACGGGUAGCCUGCAUGAGAGGGUUACCGGCCACAUUGGGCCUGAGGUACGGAGCAGAAUCCUACGGGAGGCAGCAGUGGGGAAUAUUGCAGAAUGGGCGGAAGCCUGAUACAACAACCCCGCGUGCGGGAUGACGGGCUACGGGUUGUAAACCGCUUUCGCCUGUGACGAAGCGUGAGUGACGGUAAUGGGUAAAGAAGCACCGGCUAACUACGUG
rnacentral:rRNA from 1 species